GUUCUACCUGAAUAUGAGGAAGAACAUCUUUACUGUGUGACAGGAGCAGCAUCCAGCAGCUGUUUGGGACUCCUCGCCUGGGCGGUCCCAGAAAGGCCUGAGCCCACUGAUCCCGGUUAGGCUGCACUGGCUUUGUGCCUGUCCAGUGGUCCUUGCUCUUUCUAAAAUAAAUUUUGUCUUUUUUUAAAUAAA